AUGCAAAGGGCUCUGCGUGAGCUGAGAACCCAGGCAUGUGAUAGGCAGCUAAGCUUAGGGGACUCGGAAGUGGGUCAGGAUGAAAAUGCCAAGCUUUUGCCUGUCCAGUACUGUGGAGCAGCCGCUGAGCGGGUACUGGAGCCGGUGUGCCGGUCAUCACUGUGCGGCCGCACAGCAGACACUGUGCGCACCGGCCUUCGGUGCCCAGCAAGUGGGGCGGACCACAGAACCCGAGACCAUUCGCAUGAAAAGAGUCUCUUGCUGUCUGGGGACAACUAUCCUCCCCUCAAUCCUGGAUAUCCUGGGGGGCCCCAGCCACCCAUGCCACCCUAUGCUCAGCCCCCCUCUCCUGGGGCUCCUUACCCACGCCCUCUUUCCAGCCCUCUCCCUACAGUCAGCCAGGGUACCCUCAUGGUCCCAGCCCCUACCCACAAGGUGGCUACCCUCGGGGACCCCACCCCCAGGAGGGCUACCCCAGGGGGCCAUCUCCUCAAAGCCCCUUCCCCCCUAAUCCCUAUGGACAACCACAGGCCUUCCAGGCACAGGACCCUGCCUCACCUCAGCCUGGCGACUAUCAGGAGGAGGGGCCCCCAUUCUACUAUGACAACCAGGACUUCCCUGCCACCAACUGGGAUGUCAAGAACAUCCGACCGGCCUUUAUCUGAAAGGUGUUCUGGAGCUGACCCUGCAGCUGUCGGUGACCCUGUCCAUGGUGUCUGUGGUCACUUUUGUUGGGGAGGUGAAGGGCUUUGUCCGGGAGAACGUCUGGACUUACUGUGUCUCCUAUGCCAUCUUCUUUAUCUCCCUCAUUGUCCCCAACUGUUGUGGGACUUCUGGCGAAAGCACCCCUGGAACCUCGUUACAGUGUCGAUCCUAUCAGCCUGUCUUACAUGGUAGGCGUGAGCGCCAGCUUCUACAAUAGUACUGAGGCGGUCGUCAUGGCUGUCGGCAUCACCACGGGUGUCUGCUUCACAGUGGUCCUCUUCUCCAUGCAGACCCGCUAUGACUUCACCUCGUGUGUGGGUGCGCUCCUGGUGAGCAUGGUGGUGCUCUUCAUCUUCGCCAUUCUCUGCGUCUUCAUCCAGAACCGCGUCCUGGAGACUGUGUAUGCCUCCCUGGGCGCUCUGCUCUUCACGGGCUUCCUGGCAGUGGACACCCAGCUGCUGCUGGGGAACAAGCAGCUGUCCCUGAGCCCAGAGGAGUACGUGUUUGGCACGCUGAACCUGUACACAGACAUCAUCAACAUCCUCCUGUAUAUCCUCACCAUCAUUGGUCACACCAAGGAGUAGCCCAAGUCCCAAUUUGCUGUGCUCCACUCAGGUGGCGUGGCUGGCCUGGACCCUGCCCCUGGCAUGGCGGUGCCACUGUACCACCCCUCUCUCUUGUCCUCAGGCACAGCCUGGGACAGAGGAAUCCCUUCUCUGAUCCUCUUGUAUGUACACUGACGAUAUUUCUGUUUGGACCCUCUAUGGCCACAGCAUGGCCCCUUUAGUCCUCCUGCCGCCACCAAGGGGCAACAAGGCCACAUUUCCGUGCCACUUCCUGUCUGUUCAUUGUUGCAUGAGCCCUAUCUGCCAGCUCACCCCAGGGUCUGGGGGCAAUACCAGGUACCGGGGAGAGGGAUCAAGCCACAAGGUGAGGGUGCACGACUU